rnacentral:rRNA from 1 species
UGGCGGCAGGCCUAACACAUGCAAGUCGAGCGGUAACAUUUCUAGCUUGCUAGAAGAUGACGAGCGGCGGACGGGUGAGUAACGCGUAGAAAUCUACCUAGUAGUGGGGGAUAGCCCAGAGAAAUUUGGAUUAAUACCGCAUACGCCCUACGGGGGAAAGCGGGGGAUCUUCGGACCUCGUGCUAUUAGAUGAGUCUGCGUCGGAUUAGCUUGUUGGUGAGGUAACGGCUCACCAAGGCAGCGACGGGUAGCUGGUCUGAGAGGACGAUCAGCCACACUGGGACUGAGACACGGCCCAGACUCCUACGGGAGGCAGCAGCAGGGAAUAUUGCACAAUGGGCGCAAGCCUGAUGCAGCCAUGCCGCGUGUGUGAAGAAGGCCUUAGGGUUGUAAAGCACUUUCAGCAGUGAGGAAAGGGGUGUCGUUAAUAGCGCCAUCCUGUGACGUUAACUGCAGAAGAAGGACCGGCUAACUCCGUG